rnacentral:rRNA from 1 species
UACAGAGGUCUCAAGCGUUGUUCGGAUUCAUUGGGCGUAAAGGGUGCGUAGGCGGCGCGGUAAGUCGGGUGUGAAAUCUUGGAGCUUAACUCCGAAACUGCAUUCGAUACUGGCGUGCUUGAGGACUGGAGAGGAGACUGGAAUUCAUGGUGUAGCAGUGAAAUGACGUAGAGAUCAUGAGGAAGACCAGUGGCGAAGGCGGGUCUCUGGACAGUUCCUGACACUGAGACACGAAGGCCAGGGGAGCAAACGGG